rnacentral:misc_RNA from 1 species
CGUGAGCUAGGCCUCGAGGCGAUGGCGCGCUGAAAACAUGAAUUCGACUUUUUAUUCUGUUGUACAUCUCCUCAUCUCCUCCAAAUGAUCCAUGGUUUUUCUUAAAAACGAAGUAGUGUCGACAACUUGACUGUCAAAGCGAAACUCGGACAAAUGUUACAUUACAUGUAAAACAACUAAGAAUAGCAAUGAACGGUGCUGUUAUUACAGGUACUCCGAUAGCAGUUGACUAUUGGCGAUGUCAUAAGUCUCCAUGCAGCAAAGUGUUCUUCUUGUCCCAUGCCCAUUCAGACCACACCAGCGGUUUAUCUUCAACAUGGCGUUACCCAAUCUACUGCUCAGAGGUUACGGGAAAGGUUGUAGUUGCCAAGUGUGAGGUGAAGCAAUCACUCAUCAAGUCUCUAUCAGUAGGAAGCAGACACAUCAUUCCUCUAGAUGAGAGUGGAAAGGAAACCAUGACCGUUACUCUUAUUGAUGCAAAUCACUGUCCAGGUUCUACCAUGUUCCUGUUUGAAGGUUACUUUGGACGUUUCCUUUACACAGGUGAUUUCCGCUACCAUCCAUCUAUGUUUCCAAACACUCUCCUCGGGCUGAAUCGUCCAGUGGAUAGACUGUACCUUGACAACACCUACAACAGUCCCAAUAAUGACUUUCCAGGGGAAGAUGAUUGCAAGGUAAAGAUCAUGGAAGUUUUAGCUGAGUACCCCUACACAAAUGUUGUACUUGGUAUGCACCAGCUUGGAAAAGAAGACCUCUUGGUCGAUAUUGCAGAGUUCUAUGGGGAGAAGAUUCAAGUGACCCCUGAACGAAUGUCAGUUAUUAAACUACUGGACUGCAAAGAUGUGUUCACAACAUGUGAGGAAAGGAUCAGGGUGGUACCAGUACACACUAUAACCAUUAGUAGGGUAGAGCAGUGGAAUAAUGAGUUUCCAACUAUAGUUAUCAUUCCAUCAGCUAUCUUUAGAACUCAACGGAAAAGUUGCAUUGCAAAUCAUCCCAGUGUAUUCAUCAUUCCAUAUUCUAGCCAUUCUUCAUACAAUGAGCUUAUCCAGUUUGUGAGAUGUGUGAGACCCAAGAAGGUAAUUCCCAUUGUACAACCACCACCAUCUAAAGCAUCUGAAGCAGUUAUUGCUAACAUGGGUAACUUCAAUCAAUAUCUAGAUCUAAACCCACCCACUCCAGUCAGUAUCCCAUCAUCUGUACAAACAUACAUGAACUCCCACCUUUCAGAAGUGGGAAGACCCAUUCUUAGAAAAAGACGGUCAGUAACUGACAUGAAGUGUGCUUCAAAGAUUGCCAAAGGUGUUGUCUUUGAAGAUACAAGCGAUGAUGAGAGUGAAUGUAAAGAAAACACAAAUGGAAAUGGCAUACAUGAAAGUACUUCUGACAGCGAUCUUGUGGAAUUAGAUUUUGAUGAAGCUCCAGAAAACAACGAGGAUGACUCCACCGAGUCUAUUUGGGAUAUGAAACCUAAUAGUAAAACUGCAUAUGGAUUUGAAAAGCUUGAUAGAUUGAAGGACAAGCUAUCUACAUGUACACAGGCUACAGAGGCUUUUCAGAACAAGGAUCAGGGAUCUGAUCAGGACAUCCAGGAUAAUGAACCAAAAGAACCACCUAGAAUGUUGCAGGUUUGUACUGGAACAUUCUACAGCAAACCUAAGUGGAUAAAGCAAUCUUCUAGGAAAAAGACUUUACACCAUGUUUGCAAACAUUCUCAGUCUGGAAAGUCUUGUCUUUGCAAGUAUCUAGUUUUCAAAGAAUCAAAUCAGAUCUCCAAAAAGAGCCUGGAUAAAUCACCCAGCAACAGUAACUCCAAGUGUACGACAAAUAGAUCAAUUUGUGACCCUUGCAAAAGUGCAAGAACUAACUUUGGUAUUGUAGCAGAUGAACCAUGUGCAUCCACACAUGCAGAAACUGUCAGUCUUCAUGAAGAUCAGCAAGCACCAAGUAUUAUGCCAGUCGACCGCAGAUCUAGAAAAGAUGUAAAAUGUUAUUCUGCUAUUCAAAAUUUUUACAAGAGGGUGAAGUCAGGUAGCAUUACAUCUUCAUGUACAUCUAGAUGAUUAGAAUAAACAAUGUAUUUCUUUGUGAAAUGGUGACCAGACUUGGCCUGAGAAUGCUAUUUUUAUAUUAUUUUUAGUUAUUCAAAACCCCCCCCAAAAAAUAAAAAAUAAAAAAAAACUAAAAAAAUACACAUAAUUCUCUUUCCUGUGUUGGAAUAUGAUCCAGAGUGAAUAGAGAUAUUGAUGGAACAUGUACAUGUAAUCAGUCAUUAAAUUUGGUAUUCAGAAUUUCAUAAAGUAAAUCAUUUGAGAAUAGUGCAAUACCUUAAUGCAAAUUUUCUCUUCUAAUAUGAGGCUUUUUUUGGCAGCAGUCCUUGGGUCUACUUUAUCAUUUUACAUUAGAAUUCACAUACAUGUACAUGUAAAGCAGAUUCAAUAGGUAGGUAUUGCUACAUGUACAUGUAAACUGAGCCCAUUUAACAAAAUCAAAAAGCCAUGGAUGUUCCCAACAACAUUGAGUUCUGAAUCUUGAUCAAUGAUAUUGAAAGUUGGUAAUAUUAGCAUGUGAUUUUCUUUCUAAGUCAGUAAUGUUAGAUACAUGUAUAUUCUUUAAAGUACAUGUAGCUGGCAGACUGCCAUAAUAUGCUGAAACUACUUCUUUUAAUGUGGACUUGUCUACUGUCGAUUGUUUCAACUACAGAAUGGGGAAACCAUAACUGGAUUGUGAUCGGAUUGGACAGAUACUGUGUUCCAGAAAUUCUGAUUCAGGCCUAUUAAGAACAUUCAAAUAACUGAUUUAUUCAAAUGCCUUUUCACUACAAAUUUCAGUAGUUGGUAUUGGUUACCAUGCCAGACUCUACUCCUGUGUAAAGUGUUGUAAUUAUGGUUGUAGGGAUAAGGUUUCAUGUUGGUAGAGGUUUUAGGAAGAAGGCUUUUUUUAUGUUAAAGGGAAAUGAAACCUUUGGAACAAGUAGGCUUGUGUCAAAACAGAAAAAUCAAAGA